rnacentral:rRNA from 1 species
CCUACGGGGUGCAGCAGUGAGGAAUAUUGGUCAAUGGUCGGGAGACUGAACCAGCCAAGCCGCGUGAGGGAUGAAGGUACAGAGUAUCGUAAACCUCUUUUGUCAGGGAACAAAGGCGGGGACGUGUCCCCGGAUGAGUGUACCUGAAGAAAAAGCAUCGGCUAACUCCGUGCCAGCAGCCGCGGUAAGACGGAGGAUGCGAGCGUUAUCCGGAUUUUGUGGGUUUAAAGGGUGCGCAGGCGGUCUGUUAAGUCAGCGGUAAAAGUCUGGGGAUCAACCCCGGCCCGCCGUUGAAACUGGCGGUCUCGAGUUGGAGAGAAGUAUGCGGAAUGCGCGGUGUAGCGGUGAAAUGCAUAGAUAUCGCGCAGAACUCCGAUUGCGAAGGCAGCAUGCCGGCUCCACACUGACGCUGAGGCACGAAAGCGUGGGUAUCGAACAGGAUUAGAUACCCUAGUAGUC